CAAACAGGAUUAGAUACCCUGGUAGUCCACGCCGUAAACGAUGUCGACUUGGAGGUUGUGCCCUUGAGGCGUGGCUUCCGGAGCUAACGCGUUAAGUCGACCGCCUGGGGAGUACGGCCGCAAGGUUAAAACUCAAAUGAAUUGACGGGGGCCCGCACAAGCGGUGGAGCAUGUGGUUUAAUUCGAUGCAACGCGAAGAACCUUACCUACUCUUGACAUCCAGAGAACUUUCCAGAGAUGGAUUGGUGCCUUCGGGAACUCUGAGACAGGUGCUGCAUGGCUGUCGUCAGCUCGUGUUGUGAAAUGUUGGGUUAAGUCCCGCAACGAGCGCAACCCUUAUCCUUUGUUGCCAGCGGUCCGGCCGGGAACUCAAAGGAGACUGCCAGUGAUAAACUGGAGGAAGGUGGGGAUGACGUCAAGUCAUCAUGGCCCUUACGAGUAGGGCUACACACGUGCUACAAUGGCGCAUACAAAGAGAAGCGACCUCGCGAGAGCAAGCGGACCUCAUAAAGUGCGUCGUAGUCCGGAUUGGAGUCUGCAACUCGACUCCAUGAAGUCGGAAUCGCUAGUAAUCGUAGAUCAGAAUGCUACGGUGAAUACGUUCCCGGGCCUUGUACACACCGCCCGUCACACCAUGGGAGUGGGUUGCAAAAGAAGUAGGUAGCUUAACCUUCGGGAGGGCGCUUACCACUUUGUGAUUCAUGACUGGGG
rnacentral:rRNA from 1 species